AUUAUACUCCCUCCGUCCGGAAAUACUUGUCCUCGAAAUGGUUGUAUCUAGACAUAUUUUGAUUAUAGAUACACCUAUUUUAUUCACUUUUAGGACAAGUAUUUCCGGACGGAAGAAGUAGGAC
rfam:Triticum aestivum genome assembly, contig: Triticum_aestivum_CS42_TGACv1_scaffold_032263_1BL